GUGGAGAGUAGUGAUGUCUAGAGUGAGCUAUUUUGUGCUGAGGCCACUGUGUUCUGUAAAUCCAUAAUUUUAAGAGCAAUCUCACAAUCCCUGCUAAGUGGAGUUUAUUAUUUGAAGACUAAAAUGGAAUUCCAUAGUUCCCGAUAGAUUAUAUUCUGAGUUACUAUUCUGAGUUAUCUACAAACAUUUUUGAGACACUUGAAGAUUUGUCUUUACACUAGUUUCCAGCAGCCCAUGCAGACUGCCAAGUAAGUCUCAUUUUUUUUCCUGUUAGAAAUGGUGAAGUGUCAUAUAGUCACUUAACAAAGAACACUGAUUAGAAAAAAUUUUAGCGUUGUUUGCUUUAUGGUCACUCAAAUAUGGUAAGUGUUCCACAUAUUCCACAAAUUGAUUAGUUGAUAGUUUAACAUGGAUAUCUGAAAGCCACAUAUAUAAUUUCUUAGGAUUCUUAAAUUAGCAAACCUAGCUUACUGAAGCAGUAUUAGCAUCACUAUUUUAGGUUGCAAAAAUACUUUAAUUGUGUGGAAUUGGCUAAUAGAGUGGUACUUAAGAAAAAUGGGAUUCUACCUCUAUUUCUGUUUUGGCACACUUAAACAUGAAAGGAUAUAUUAACUUUCAUAGAAAUAUUUUUGUUGUGUGAAUAGGUUAAUGAUAUGGUAAGGCCCCUAAGAUAACUGAAUUAACUGUUUAUUGUAAUUGUAGGCCAUUCCCAUUAUUAAAAAUAAAGACAAAACUUUGAUAAACUGUGAAAAUCUUAUCGUGCUAUGUAGAAACAUUGAACUAAUAUUCAAAUAGUUGAAUGCUUUGGUUUCAGGGAUUGGUUUAAAAUUUGCGUCCUUUUUCAUGGGUUAGUCUUAUAAAAAUUUAAGCCUUUAUAUUUUUGACUUUAAAUCAAAACAAAUGUUAUUUUAAAUGUACAGAAUAGAUUGAUAGUGCAGAAGAGCGUAAGUUCUUCAUGGGAGCUUUAGAAAAGAGAAGUAUAUGCCAAUUCAGUUUUUUUUUAAUCUUCUGCACUGUACAUAUACACUUGGUAAUUAUGAGCUCAAUUUUGUUUUUGGAAAUAGUGUUGAUAAUUUAGGUAAUUUGCUACUUAAAGCACUAAGUCUCUGAUACCUGAAAAGUAAAUGUAAAUGGUGAUGGUGAAAUAAUACUGCAAUUAACUUAAUAGAUGUAUACUGCUGAUUUUUGUAUGCUGGAUUAAAACUCCAGAUAUUAAAAUAUAACCUGGA
rnacentral:lncRNA from 1 species